UCCGGUGUGGCGCAGCGGUAGCGCAGCGGACUGUUAAUCCGUUGGUCGUUGGUUCGAAUCCAACCGCCGGAGCCA
rnacentral:tRNA from 1 species